rnacentral:rRNA from 1 species
ACGAACGCUGGCGGCGUGCGUAAAACAUGCAAGUCGGACGAGAGCGACCGGUGCUUGCACUGGUCAAUCUAGUGGCGAACGGGUGAGUAACACGUGGGUAACCUGCCCAUCAGAGGGGGAUAACAUUCGGAAACGGAUGCUAAAACCGCAUAGGUCUUCGAACCGCAUGGUUUGAAGAGGAAAAGAGGCGCAAGCUUCUGCUGAUGGAUGGACCCGCGGUGCAUUAGCUAGUUGGUGAGGUAACGGCUCACCAAGGCCGUGAUGCAUAGCCGACCUGAGAGGGUGAUCGGCCACAUUGGGACUGAGACACGGCCCAAACUCCUACGGGAGGCAGCAGUAGGGAAUCUUCCGCAAUGGACGCAAGUCUGACGGAGCAACGCCGCGUGAGUGAAGAAGGUUCUCGGAUCGUAAAACUCUGUUGUUAGAGAAGAACAAGUGCUAGAGUAACUGUUAGCGCCUUGACGGUAUCUAACCAGAAAGCCACGGCUAACUACGUGCCAGCAGCCGCGGUAAUACGUAGGUGGCAAGCGUUGUCCGGAUUUAUUGGGCGUAAAGCGAGCGCAGGCGGUUCCUUAAGUCUGAUGUGAAAGCCCCCGGCUCAACCGGGGAGGGUCAUUGGAAACUGGGGAACUUGAGUGCAGAAGAGGAGAGUGGAAUUCCAUGUGUAGCGGUGAAAUGCGUAGAUAUAUGGAGGAACACCAGUGGCGAAGGCGACUCUCUGGUCUGUAACUGACGCUGAGGCUCGAAAG